GGAAUAUUGCGCAAUGGGCGAAAGCCUGACGCAGCGACGCCGCGUGGGGGAGGAAGGCCUUAGGGUCGUAAACCCCUUCCAGAUGGGACGAACCGUAGAUCGGCGAAUCCCUGAUCUGCCUGACGGUACCAUCAGAGGACGCUCCGGCUAACGCCGUGCCAGCAGCCGCGGUAAUACGGAGGGGGCGAGCGUUGUUCGGAAUUCCUGGGCGUAAAGGGCGCGUAGGCGGCCGUGUAAGUCGGAUGUGAAAGGCCGGGGCUCAACUCCGUGCAUUGCAUCCGAUACUGUAUGGCUGGAGAAAGGUAGAGGCGAGCGGAAUUCCCGGUGUAGCGGUGGAAUGCGUAGAUAUCGGGAAGAACACCCGUGGCGAAGGCGGCUCGCUGGGCCCUUUCUGACGCUGAAGCGCGAAAGCGUGGGGAGCAAAC
rnacentral:rRNA from 1 species